CUCCCUCUUCCCUCGCCUUUUCCUUCUCCAAAGGGCACGAUUUUCCUUUUCCUUUUCCUUCGCCAUUGAUUUUUCUAAUUCAGUUGAAGCUGAAAUAAUCUUUGUCCCAUCUCUCCCCCGCCCUCCCCCGCUCCGAAGAAGAUUUUAAUUCGUUCUGUUUUUUUAUUGGACUUUUUAUCCAUCACCUAUUGAUUAUGGUGAAUUUUCAAAGAGCAUAUGCUCAUCAAUUAACGAGUGCAUUUGCCACGGAAUCCCAGAUUCACGUCCACUUGAGGGUUACCAUGGUGACACAUCAACGAUGUUCUUUGCAGGAAAUGUGAUGAGGAAGCCAAAAACUUGGUAAUUGCAAGAGAGAUAUUACAGAAUAGCUUCAUUUUUAGGUCUACUGGUGGCCAAUCAUAAGUAGCAGAUGAUUUUCACAAUUUAGCUUCAUUUCAUACUUUUGCGAGUUUGCCUACAAGUAGUUCUAUUUCCAGUAGACAUGAAGGUACUAUGAGAGCUAUGGUGCUUAAUAGAUCAAUAGCUAUAUUGAUCAAACUCUCCUAAAUAUUGUCGUACUCAUGUUGGAUCCUUUAAAAAGAUAGUACUUAUGGGGGAUUUGACAUGCACUCGUAUGCUGGUAUGAAGAAUUCAAGAAACAUAUAUCAAUAGUCUUUAUGUGC